rnacentral:rRNA from 1 species
CCUACGGGUGGCAGCAGUGGGGAAUAUUGCACAAUGGGCGAAAGCCUGAUGCAGCAACGCCGCGUGAAGGAAGAAGGGUUUCGGCUCGUAAACUUCUAUCAACAGGGACGAAAGAAAUGACGGUACCUGAAUAAGAAGCCCCGGCUAACUACGUGCCAGCAGCCGCGGUAAUACGGAGGAUGCGAGCGUUAUCCGGAUUCAUUGGGUUUAAAGGGUGCGCAGGCGGGCCUUUAAGCCGGCGGUGAAAUCGCGGGGCUCAACCCCGCCGAGCCGUCGGAACUGGGGGCCUUGAGUGCGGCGGAGGCAUGCGGAAUGCGCGGUGUAGCGGUGAAAUGCGUAGAUAUUAGGAGGAACACCAGUGGCGAAGGCGGCCUACUGGACGGUGACUGACGCUGAGGCUCGAAAGCGUGGGGAGCAAACAGGAUUAGAUACCCGAGUAGUC